rnacentral:lncRNA from 1 species
GUUUGUUUAUUUAUUUAUUUAGAUGGAUCUUAGUAUGUAACUCAGGCUGGUUACAAACUAAUGAUUCUCCUUCAUCUUCCUGAUUGCUGGGAAUACAGGCAGGAUCCUCCACACCAGCUCAUUUAGCACAUCUUUAUUGUUACAUUCUAUUUAGCCACAUCUUUUGAACAAUCAUUACCGACAGUGUUGCUGAAAGGGAUGAGAACAAAGUGGAAUUGAUACUGUCUCCGGGGAUUCUAAUAUUCCUGUUGUUGUGUCCAUUGUGUCCAUGAGUUCCCACUUUAAUUUCUUGUUUGUUACUAGGAUCCAACUCUUGGCUUUUCGUAAAUCUCUGCCCAACUCCCUGUGCCAAUGGUAUUUUAUUGUUGUUGUUGUUGUUGUUUUUUUUUUUUUUUUUUUUUUUUUUUUUGAGACAGGGUUUCUCUGUGUAGCCCUGGGUGUCCUGGAACUCACUUUGCAGACCAGGCUGGCCUCCAACUCAGAAGUCUGCCUGCCUCUGGCCAAUGGUAUUUUAGAUCAGUGCAAACAUUAACAGCUUCAGAGACCCCUACUCUCUCUGUAUCCUUCUUUUGUUAAUUCAUACACCUUCUGCCAUCCUGGAGACCUCUUUUGAAUUUGCAAUUAGGAGAUCCUCUUUCUCCUCUCCUCUGACCAGUUGCUCAGCUAUUUCUCAAUCAAGGGAAUAUGCUCACUCAAAUAAUGAGCACCUAGGUUUUGUGUGACAUGCAGACUCAUCAGACUGUACAUUCCUCUCCUGAUUGUGAACCCAUUAUUUUUCUUUUGCAAGAAUUAUCUUGUCUUAAUGUCUAGCACCUUCUAGAAGAUUAAAAUCAUUGCAUGACAAAUAUAAACAAUGGAAUAAAAUCAUAUGGAAAUUAGAAAUACCUAAAAUACUUUACUAUAGUCUUCUCAGAAUCCAGAUCUUCUUUUGAUGCAUUAGAUUGUCUAUCUAUUGUUGAUACUCUGAAGGGUCACAAGCAAAUGAAUCUGACAUGGAUAGAUAAGUAUUCAAGCUCUAAUUAUUGCCUUUAUUAAACAUAUACACUCAGACAAACUAGUGCUUCGAAUCAAACAAAAGUAUUUUCCCUAUAAAGUAGAUUGAAGCUAUAUGUAACACAGGAGACAAUAGUGUUUGUAAGAUACGCUACUAGGACAAAACAAUGUUUAGUAGACCCUGCAGAGUGAGAAUCCAGCAGACCUUAAUGCAUGAUUAGAUGAGCCUUGUGGCCAAGAGUGGAAUACUAUAAAAUAUUUCCAAGUCUUUUCAUUAGACUCAAAAAUAUAAGCCAUAUACUCUUUUUUACAGUUGUCUGCUGGGUUAAUCUUGCUUGUUACCAAAUUAUUGUUUUAAAAUUCCUACAUGGUUUAAAGCUACACAAAACAGAUAUGCACACAUGCUUAAAACAACCCCUAGUGGUUUCACCCAAGUAAAUUCGAGGAGUCUUAGAGUUGAUUGUUGAGGAAUCCAUUGUCUUGCAAAUGAAUCCCAGAAAGGCAAACUAUUGAACUGAUAUUGGCACAACAUAUAGUGUAACACAAUAAUGCCAGAUAAUCUCAGAUUUGGAAGAGACUUUAUGUAGAAACAGAGCAUACAUUUUACUUUGCUUAGUGUUCUAAUUUCCUGGUCCCAAUGCUAACAUUUUUUCUCCUUUUCUUUGAUCCCUAUUUGGAGGAAGAAUAUAUAUUCAUUAUCUGUGUGUGUGUGUGUGUGUGUGUGUGUGUGUGUGUGUGUUUAACUGCCAUUGUUUUAUUAAAUCUAUCUUUUCUGGGAUAUUUCUAGCAUAUUGUAAUUGGUGAAACAAUUUUUUUUUUCUUGACACAGAACCUAGUACUACUUCCUCAGGCCACCCAACACACUGUAGUUUGUUUCUGAUAGAUCUUUCAUAAAUAGGAAAAUUAGAAAAUUAGGCCUGGCUUUUGCUGCCACCCUUUGCUCCUUACCCUACCCUAAGGUUAUACAGAGAACAUCUAAUUCUUUUCCCUCAUGACUGCUCCUCGGAUAUUUGAAAACCACAGUCGUAUGCUGCCUGAGGGUGCUCAUUUCCUGACCUUGCUUGUAUAGCUUGGUGCUAAAUUUCCUCAGCAUUCUAAGCUCUCUUCUCUGACUGCACUGCUGUUCAUCUUUGUGUAUGUCUAAGAGAAUUGCCCAGAACAAAGCUACAUAAUAACAAUACUGUGAGUUGUAUGAGAUACAAGUCAUGGACCACUGUCCUUAGACAAUGUGAGCCCAACAGUAAAGCGAAAAUCCAAGAGGUGUUACUCUUCCCCUCACAAUAUUCAUUUUUAAACCAAGGGAGACCAUUUCCCUCCAUUUCAUCUUUCCCUGCAGUUGUUUGCUAUUCACAAUCCAAGAGCUGAACAUUGAAGUCAUAAUGCAAGGGAUCAAACUGAGUUGUAAAGAGUGGAGAAUGCAGGCCAUUCAAGUUCUCACACACAGAAAAGAUAGAUAAAUUCCAGGGAAGCGAUCUAGCAGCACUGAAAUUAGUCAAACUGAAAUCAAGCUCAGACGAAUUUGGGGUAGAGCAUAGUAUUAAUAAAAGCUAAUGCUUUUGAUUUUUCUCUUUUCUUUUUUUUUUUUUUUUCUGGAACAACAGAAUUUCAACUUUCUCAAUACAUUUUGUCGUAGAACAGAUGCACGAACCAGUGUUGUAUAAUUGGCUUUGAGAAGAGAUGAGGAAAAACAUCCAAAGUGAUAUAUGCAAACAAACUUCUAUAUUUCCAUAUGUUUUCUGAUUCUCUCUCUGUCUCUCUCUCUUUCACACACACAUGUAUAUAUUCAUCAUCUUCAUCAUGUUCAUGUAGAUUGUACAGUAUAAUCACAAAUACUGUCUGUUGAAAUCUGUCAUAGCUACCUUGUAGAUAAAUCUCUUUUAGUUAUUAAGAACUUCACUGGUGAUGUAAUUGUCAUGGAAGAACUUCUUAGCCUAUAACAUGAAAGAGCUAGUAUAUUGAUACAUAUGCUAUACAGGGAUGGCUAAAUAGCUUCAAUUGCAUAAUAACUUGCAAUACAAAAAUACUGAUGAAGCAUAGACUUUUCUCGUGCUCUUUUUCUAAUGCAUCCUUGCCCUCCAUGUUGGCUGUGAUGGACUGACAAGGAACAAAGGUGAGGUGAGUUCUUACAUUUUAAACAUGGGUCUAUAGACUUCCAAUCUCUGUAUUCUUGCUAUUUCGGUAUGCUGCUCUUACAUAUUUUGGUGUCCUGCUGUCAAGUUAAAUGUGAUUAUUUGAAAUCGUAAAAGAGAACACAUUAAUAAUUCAUCUAACAGUUCAAUCUUUCUUUCAAUAAGUUUUUACUGAGCAGUGAUUUUCAACUAAGCUCAAAAGCUGGAUGCUCCCUAUUAAAGCAAUGAAAUCUUACCCCCUGCUCUUUCUCUUUUCUUCCCCCUUCCCGUUUUUGUCUUUAUUUUACUGAAGAAAAUUUAUCACCAAUCUCAAAUAGUUAAAAUCAGUUCAAUUUCUGUUACUAUAGGCCACUGUAAGGUCUUCUUGUUUUCUUGGGAGGGGUGGAGUGAUGCAUCAGUUGGAAGAAGGUACCAAAAGCAUCAUUCUUAGGAAAAAACUGCCUUCUGAGCUGUUUUACUGUUUUCUUUCUGAUUAGUUUCCAUGUCAGAAGGCCCAAUUUCUUGUGGUUUUAGAGAUCUACAAAACUCAUUCAUCCUUUUAAAAAUCCAUCUAAUAUCCCCAGUCUUUCUUAUCUCAAUAAUUUAAGUGAUAUUUUUAAGCGCUGUUUUGGCUUUUCCCUGGUAUAUGAUGAAUUCUUUUUGUGAACUUGGAGGUGCAAAAAGGCAUAAAUUUAUUUUCAUACAACUCCUAUACAUAAGGUGAAUGGACAUACGGUGUGUGGCUCAUUCCCAUGCUUAGAAUCUCACUAGGGUGAUAUCAAGAUGUUAGCUAGAUUUGUAGUUCCUAAAGUAUUAAUUUUUGUACCAGGUGUCAGCUGGGGCCUGCUAUCAGGAUUCAGGACAUGACCUCUUCAUCUCCAAGUUAGCAAGAGCAAAUUGAAUCCUUCUUAUGUUUAAAUAGCUGGCUUGUGUGACCAACCCAGGAAAGCACCCUCAGAUAGGGCUCAUAUGAUUAUGCCAGACUCCCAUAUACAGUCUCCCAAUCUUAAGGUCAACAUAGUAUAUAACAUAAUCUAAUAGAAGUGAGAUCCCCAUGUUUGCAGCUGCAGGGAUUAUGUGUGCAUGCAUUCUGGGAAAGUGGAGGACCUGAAGGUCAGCUUAGGCUUCUGCCUAUUGCUGUUUCCAUAGGAUUUUUUCCCAUUCUAUUUGUUUUAUACAGCAUUAAUGUAAGAAGGAUUUUUUUGAUUAUUGGAGUGUUUUCUUUUUUGUCUGUAAUAGUUUUGUCUUUCCAUUGUUUCUAUUGUAUAUGUCUUUAUUUUUCUACUCAUAGUAAACAAGGCAAGAAACUUGGACAUGUUUUCCCAAAAAGGUGAACACACACUUUUCCUGCUGUGUGGCAUUCUAAUCUGAAGGCUGGAGCAUUACAAAGUUAUUAUCAAAGAAAUGGUUCCUUGUGUUAGGGAAUAGGAAUACAGAAGAGCUGCAGAGACUCCCAGAGUGGUAUAUGUGUGUGUAUGUGUACGUGUACGUGUACAUGUAUGUGUAUGUAUAUGGUUAUGUGUAGUGUUAGUGUGCAUAUCUUCACAUCCCUAGAAUUAGAAGCACAUGUUUAUUCAGAAUGUGUUAAUACUCCAUAUAUAAAUGAAGCCCCAAUUUGUAGUUGUCAAAUGGACAUUUCUUACCACAACAUCUACUAGAAACCAGUUUUAUAGCCAGAAUCUGCCCUGAAGAAUUUAUUCUAAACUUUCUAAGAAUUAAGUUUCCAGUGUUCAAAGACAUUGUAAACCAUUGCAACUUCUCUCUGUUAUAUUGCUGCUUCACAUGUCUACAUGUUAAUUUAAAAUACAUACACACAUGAUAUUGAAGCUAUAUAUAUAUAUAUAUAUAUACACACACACAUACAUAGAAAUGUGUGUAUGUGUGUGUGUGUAUGUGUGUUGUAUGUGUAUAAAAGCACAUAAUUCCCAGCUUGACAGAGUACAAUGAUUUAUUUAUUUUAAUCUCAUAUAUGGAUAGUAUUUCUACCAAUAUAAACUACUAUGUAUACCUUCCUAUACUAUCUAAGAUUGUGCAGCACAGCAUCAUUAUAUAUGGUAAAAGGUUACCAGAAAUUGUUAUAAAUAAGAAAAGGAAAGAAAAAGACAAUUGUUUCUUAAUAUAUAUUUCCUUUUGUCAGAACAAACCUCUUCAUUACUCAGCUGAAUAUGCACAAUAAAUUGCUAUUAGAUAAGAUCUAUCUAUCUAUCUAUCUAUCUAUCUAUCUAUCAUCUUUUUAUUCUUUAGAGGCAAUAUCAUAUAGGCUAGUCUGGAUCAUAGCUCCAAAUGCAGCUGAAGGUGACUUUAAACUCCCCAUGUGUGCCUCCCCAGUUCUAAUGUUACAGGCUUGUGCCUUCACAACUGGCUAACACUUUCAUUGUUCAUUGGUUAUUUACUGUGCUGCACUGACUUCAACAAAGGCUUCACACACAACAGAAAGUUAUUUUACAACUGACCCAUGGCCUCCACCAAAGAUUUCAAUUAAGAACUGAAUUAUCUUUGUUUAUCAAAUACCAGCUUUACAUUCAUGUAAAUUUGUACAACCUAUUAACAACCUAUCAAGUGCUUGUUGAAAAGAUUCACUUCCCAAACAGGAUGGAUUUGGCUGAUCAGAGUUUUGAUAAUUACAUUGACUUUAGGGCUUCCUUAUUUAGUUCAUGAUAUAAUAAGUACCAACAUAAAAUAAUUGAAAUAUAUGAAAUUCCUGUAAAAAUACUCAUGUAAGAAAAAUUGAAUGAUGAUGUGAAAUCAACUGUGGAUACACGAAUAAUAUUAGAAACAGUGUGCUUCCAGGCUGGUGACCAGCAUUCCUGAUCUCUAGACUGCAGACAUUGCCCAGUGGUGAGCUGUCAUUCAGCUGGGUUGAGUGGCAGAUUUGAUAACUGGAAACCACAGAGCC